rnacentral:rRNA from 1 species
UACGUAGGGUGCGAGCGUUGUCCGGAAUUAUUGGGCGUAAAGAGCUCGUAGGUGGCGGGUCACGUCGGGUGUGAAAGCCCGGGGCUUAACUCCGGGUCUGCAUUCGAUACGGGUCUGCUGGGGUCCGGCAGGGGAGACUGGAAUUCCUGGCGUAGCGGUGAAAUGCGCAGAUAUCAGGAGGAACACCGGUGGCGAAGGCGGGUCUCUGGGCCGGUACCGACGCUGAGGAGCGAAAGCGUGGGGAGCGAACAGG